GACGAACGCUGGCGGCGUGCUUAACACAUGCAAGUCGAACGGAAAGGCCUGCUUUCCCUUGUGGAUUGCGGGUACUCGAGUGGCGAACGGGUGAGUAACACGUGAGUGAUCUGCCCCCAACUUGGGUAUAAGCCUGGGAAACUGGGCCUAAUUCCCGAUAGGACUGCAGGGUGGUGCCUGUGGUGGAAAACGAUGUUCUAGUGGUUGGGGAUGAGCUCGCGGCCUAUCAGCUUGUUGGUGGGGUAAUGGCCUACCAAGGCGGCGACGGGUAGCCGGCCUGGGAGGGUGGACGUCCACAUUGGGACUGCGAUACGGCCCAGACUCCUACGGGAGGCAGCAGUGGGGAAUAUUGCACAAUGGGCGGAAGCCUGAUGCAGCGACGCCGCGUGGGGGAUGACGGCCUUCGGGUUGUAAACUCCUUUCGACCGCGAGGAAGCCACCUGGUUGGAAGGGUGGUGACGGUAGUGGUAGAAGAAGCACCGGCUAACUACGUG
rnacentral:rRNA from 1 species